GAAAUUGCCCCACCUGUUGUGCUGAUAACAAUAGUUUGCCUCGGCCUGGGAAGCUGGUCCAGGUCCGGAUAUAGCUGCACAGCUAACAGGUAGCGGAUAUUGCAAAUGACCGGUCGCGGCUCGAUGUCGACCCUAACGCCGCGAGCCAAAAGACCUAUAUAAAUGAGUUCAGGGAAUUUGCCAAGAGGCUCGAAGAUAUGUG
rnacentral:lncRNA from 1 species